rnacentral:rRNA from 1 species
UACGUAGGAUCCAAGCGUUGUCCGGAUUCAUUGGGCGUAAAGGGUGCGUAGGCGGCGCGGUAAGUCGGGUGUGAAAUCUCGGGGCUUAACUCCGAAACUGCAUUCGAUACUGCCGUGCUUGAGGACUGGAGAGGAGACUGGAAUUUACGGUGUAGCGGUGAAAUGCGUAGAUAUCGUAAGGAAGACCAGUGGCGAAGGCGGGUCUCUGGACAGUUCCUGACGCUGAGGCACGAAGGCCAGGGGAGCAAACGGG